UGGCCUCCGGAGGCUGCAAGUCCGAGGCAAAUUAGCUACGAUUUGCAAAAUUCCGAGGAGAGGCGAGGAUGCGGUGGAAGCGUUUGCGGUUGGAACUAUCCUAAUGGAAACCACAGAAAAGCAUAAAGCAGCAGCUGUAUUUUUCCACUGCGUGGAUUACACUGGAGAUUAAUUCUGGUUCAGCCAGUGCCUGUUAAGCAGAAAGUGAUGGCCUGAGCCCACGGGGGAAGUCAGCCACGGCAUCUGCCAUGGACUUGAAGUUGCUGGUAGGUUUCCACGAAAGGAGAUAUUUGCAAUAGUAAAUUUCUAGGGUUUGAAAAAAA